AAAGUUAUAAUCAACGAUGAUAUUUGACUUGCACUCAGAAAGUGCUCCACCCGGAGCUACCUUCA
rnacentral:tRNA from 1 species